rnacentral:rRNA from 1 species
CGUGUAGGCGGUCGGUCAAGUCUGGUGUGAAAGCCCGGGGCUCACCCCCGGAAGUGCGCCAGAAACUAGCCGGCUGGAGCGCGAUAGGGGAGGGUGGAAUUCCUGGUGUAGCGGUGAAAUGCGUAGAUAUCAGGAGGAACACCGGCGGCGAAGGCGGCCCUCUGGAUCGUUGCUGACGCUGAGACGCGAAAGCGUGGGGAGCAAACAGGAUUAGAUACCCUGGUAGUCCACGCUGUAAACUAUGGGUACUAGGUGUUCGGGGUAUUGACCCCCUGAGUGCCGCAGCUAACGCAUUAAGUACCCCGCCUGGGGACUACGGCCGCAAGGCUAAA